rnacentral:rRNA from 1 species
UACGUAGGCAGCGAGCGUUGUUCGGAGUUACUGGGCGUAAAGCGCACGUAGGCGGCUUUCUAAGUCGGGGGUGAAAUCCUGGAGCUCAACUCCAGAACUGCCUUCGAUACUGGAGAGCUUGAGUCCGGGAGAGGUGAGUGGAACUGCGAGUGUAGAGGUGAAAUUCGUAGAUAUUCGCAAGAACACCAGUGGCGAAGGCGGCUCACUGGCCCGGUACUGACGCUGAGGUGCGAAAGCGUGGGGAGCAAACAGG